rnacentral:rRNA from 1 species
CCAGACUCCUACGGGAGGCAGCAGUGGGGAAUAUUGGACAAUGGGGGAAACCCUGAUCCAGCGACGCCGCGUGAGUGAAGAAGUAUUUCGGUACGUAAAGCUCUAUCAGCAGGAAAGAAAAUGACGGUACCUGACUAAGAAGCCCCGGCUAACUACGUGCCAGCAGCCGCGGUAAUACGUAGGGGGCAAGCGUUAUCCGGAUUUACUGGGUGUAAAGGGAGCGUAGACGGCAGCACAAGUCUGGAGUGAAAUGCCGGGGCUUAACCCCGGAACUGCUUUGGAAACUGUGCAGCUAGAGUGCAGGAGAGGUAAGUGGAAUUCCUAGUGUAGCGGUGAAAUGCGUAGAUAUUAGGAGGAGCGCCAGUGGCGAAGGCGGCUUACUGGACUGUAACUGACGUUGAGGCUCGAAAGCGUGGGGAGCAAACAG